UAAAUGAUGCUGUAAAGAGCAAAUGCCUGGAGUUCCUGUUAUUGAGAGCUGCUCAGCUGCGUGGAAGGGUCUGAUAGGAGCAGCAGCUCUUCUGGUGAUGCUUAUUUUAGCUGGAUCGGGAAUGGGUACCUGAGUGGGAGAGCCAAUGCAGCUGCUCCUAGAGACAAACCUUGAGUCUGAAAGCUCGCUGAUCCCCGUUAAUACAUGGAAAUACAUGGAAAACAAUGCGCAGCAGAUGGCAUAAUCUUUCAUUGCACAUAACACCUUUUAUGCUCCUUUGAUUAUCAAAGGACAUUAUUUGGAUAUCAAAGCAUCAUCAGAGGAUACCUACCACUACUCCUCCCCAAAAAAGGCGAAGCUGAUACUUCAGAAGACUGAGCAGCACAAAGCUUCAAUCAAAUUGGAAAAAAUUAUCAUUCUGCAACCCCAUAUGGAGUGACAACAGGUAUUCAGUGGAAGUACUGUCAGAAUCUAUGUAACUAUAGCCCCAACACACAGAUUCUUAGUGUUAUUUAACUAUCUUGUUGGAAACAACAUUAGUUAACUCUGAGCUACCUUUAAGGAGCUUGGCUUUAAGAACUGUUGCAGUUACCCUAAAACACCUAAGCUCCUGUGACAAGCAGAUUUUACAGCCCUGAGCUAUCCAUCUAGGCUUUCCCAGGAAAGGGGAGUGCUAGACAUCUAUGCAAGAAACAUGUCCGAAAGCUUCCAGCUGAGCACAGAGUGUCUCACACUGGUCAAGAGUGAGAGGUGAAGUGUGAGACAAGGAGUGAAGGCAUCUCAGCUACUGACUCCAUAGAAGAUCUGACAGACCUGAAAUGGCACCUUCCUGCCUGUUCUUGAGCUCUCUUCACAAGCUUGCAUCAGGUUUUGUAAGAAAGGGUAGUUUCCACAGAUUACAGAGAAUCUUGCCUCAGGGGUUCUGAUAUUUCAUCCCCGUAAAGGGCUUUGAGUAGCUUGCUAGUGACUAGGCAGUGUCAGCAGUGCCAACCAGGAGAAGCUUUGCUGCUUAUCAGGACAGUGGCAGCUGAGUAGCUGUUCAGGAAAUGUCAUGGGAGUCUUAAGUGGUAGGACACAGACACCAAAGAGACUGGUGAGUGCUAAAGGACCAUUUAUAAAUGCCUUGCACAAUAACAAUUCCAGAAUAACCUGGAAGUUCAUAAUGCAGUCCAAGCCACCAUCAACUACUAGUUCUGCACUAUUAAAAUUGUCCUGAGUAGGAUUAAGGCCAUUGCCUCUGGCAUGCUUGUGAUUAACCUCCUGUUCAAUUGUACUCUCCAAAGAGUUCCUUCCAGUAUCUGAAGGGGCCUACAAGGAAGAUGGAGAGGGACUUUUCACAGAAAAUAUAAUGAUAAGACAAAGAGUAGUGGGUUCAAGCUGAAAAUGUUCAGCUCAGGUGCUAAUGAUGCAUUUCCUUAUCACUUCUACAAAUCACAUCUUUUUUCCUUUUAAGUGAAGGGUUCUUCAAUCAUCACUGUGGUGAAUAUAAACUCAGAAAAAUAGUUUUCAAGAGUAUAGGUCUGUAUUGUCUGUUGUAUUAAUGUUCCAGCCAACAGACAUUGCACUUUUGCUGCCAUCUUCAUGGACAAUGAAAAUUUGAAUACAAAUAAAUCUCCAAUAUAUAACUAAGAAAAGGCAACAGUCAUAUUUCUAUAAAGAUGAAUCACAUAAUGCACUCCUCUUAUGGACUUCAAACAAAGCAAAUCUAUUUUAUAUUGCAUGGAUUUUGUUUCCUUCUCACAGCAAAAAUAUAAAGCUUUAAGUCUGGGUUAACUCAAACCACCAUUGGUAGAAGACUGCUCUUCCUUCUUUCUCCUUUCUCAAUUUCAAAGUGAUGCAAACAUCCAAGUAACUGCUGAGAGAAAAUUAUUCGAGGCAAAUUAUUUUUCUAAGCUUUAAUAAGACAGAGAGACAAAGAUGUAAAUUACUGCCCUCUUAAAACGUCUUUGCUAAAAAUUGUCUCUCCAAAAAGAGGAGCACAGCAAGGUGUGAAUUUUACCCUGAGUCCAACUGUCACUUGACUGAGGUGUUAAAUGGGAAAGCUGUUAUUUUAAUUAGAAACGAGACUGACUCUCAAAAACAUUACCUCGAAUUAAAGACAAUUAAACCUCAGCUAUGGUUGGAUAAUUUUUCCUUUACUCCUUAUUUUCCCCACUAAUGGAUUGUGCUUGAUUAUCAUUAUAAAAAGGCCCUAAGUGCAUGAAAGUUUAGCUGGAAACAGCCCAAGGUUGUUAAAGAAAAAGCAAACCCUGGUCAGGGGGUGCCCUCCCUGGGGAAGCUGAGGUGAGGAUGUGGGUGGUGAUCCCUCUCUGGACCUGUGCCAGAGGGGAGCUUGGAAAGCUCUCUCAGGACACUGAUCCAGGCUCUGCUGGCUGGCACAGAACAUGAAAGCUGCACUCUAAGCUCUAUGAUGAAAUACUCAGCGCUUUGUAACUUUGCCUUCCCAAAUCCUUUGCUGUAACUAGCCCGAGUUGAUGAGAACUUAAUGUAGACUAUCUCUUGACUGUCGCUGCUAUUUUCAGCAUAUCAGCCUGACUUGCCCCAGGCUGGUUUAACUAAUGCUGAUAAGGACAGUUAGUGCCAAAAAGCUUAGUAGGACAAGUGCCCAUUCUCCUCAUUCCUCACAUCGGGCACAGAUGCCAGUAUAAGCAAUAACAAAAUUUAUUUUGGACAAAAUGUCUGCACAAGUUCGACCUUGCCAUUCACACAGCUCUAGAUAUGGUGCCAGCUUAAAGUGAUCCCAGCUGACUCUCAGUCCUUUCCUUUCCUUGCCUGCCACCCAGCCACUCCCUUUCUUUUAUGAUAGCUGGCAUGCAGGCAGGCAAAUAACCAGGAAAACACUUCAGGGAGCUCAGCUGGUUGAGAACAAAAGGUCUUCAUUUUUGGGCAGCCUGGCUUCUCAAACUGUCUCAUCCACUGGUGUCCUGAGCUCCAGUGCCAGCACAAGAGCACACAUGGGAAUUUGGGGCUUGGGGGAGAGCAGGACUGUGGCACCUCCAAUUUAAAUGACCAGCCUCCAGGUGGUCACUGAACACCAAAAGCCUGCAACAGAAAUGGUCCUGUCCUCCUACCUCAAUUCCCCAGUCCUGGCCAAACACUCCCUCAUGCUGACUCUGGCCUGGAUUACAGAGUAAAGCGAUGGAGUUUGCUGAUCCAUCCCUUUUGCAGAAGAAUAUGCAUCCCAGAAAUAAAUAAAAUUACUUCCUCCUAUAAUUAGAAAUCCAGACCCCAAAGUCCCAAGGGUAAUGUUUUCUCCUUCUCUUUAUUUAUCUUCCCUAUUUUUUUUCCUCUCGCCCUUCUUGAGAGAUGUUGCUAUCCACUUUAGGAACUAUAUGGUCCUUUGGGGAAUUUUGUCUCAGGUAUUGCAAUAGCUGAUGACAGCAGUUCUUCCUGUACAGGACAGAAACAGAAAACAAGCCUGUUUUCCUUGAAUGGCAUGGGCAUGUCCGUGUUAGCUGUGUAACACAAGCAUGGAUGAUUUCCAUUUCACUGCUUCUGUGUGCCAAGACUGUGAGUAACUUCAUUUGGUGCUCUUUCACCCAUCCCCUCAAGAAACUAAACCCAUAGUAAUUUCACUUCAUGGAAGGUCAGGCAGAUAAGGAAUUAUAUACAAUUAAGAGAAGAUGAUAUUGAUUUUACAUUUUAUUUCAAGUUAUCUAUAACUUCAGGUUGAGACUGAUAUAGGGGUAGUAUUGAAGAUUUUGUUUUAAUAUUAAACACAUGAGAUAGAUUUUUUUUUUAUAUUUAACAUAAAACAUAAGAUUCUUGAGCAUGGGACAACAUUCUCCAUAAGAGAGAUGAGACUUUUCCAUUUGCAAAUUGUAUGUGGGUCUGGACUGCAGACCUCUGCUCUGGCAGAUACAGUUUCCUUUUUGACUAGAUUCUGCCUUCAUCCUAAAGCUUUUUUUGGGCUUGAUCCAAAAUACUGGCACUAGUAGAAAUCUGUUCAAAAAGUUUCAAAACUGACCUUUUAUUUUGUGAGUGGUCAUUUUCACAUUCCUCUCUUUCUCCCAUUGUGUUCAGUGUUCCGGGAAGUAUAGGUCACUAAAAAUCUACAGAAUGUCACAUCCCCUAAUAAACCUGCUAGUUUCAUGUCUUUUCAGCUGGACCAGUGUUUGCAGUGGGGGAGCAGAGAUUUUUUUAAAAAAUUUAUUUAAUUUUUAAAAAUUAUUAUUAAACCCUGUACUGUUUAUUUGCUGGAGUGUGAACAAUUUUCAGGAGUGUGAACUUGACUGCAUCAGUGUUGCUUUUGAAACAAGAACAGUGUUGCUCUUGAAACAAGACCAGGAAUAGGUCUGUCUAGGCUAGUCAAAAUGUGGAGCUCAUGCUUUCUAGAUGCAGUACAGUAUUAAUUUUAAUUACUAGCUAGGAUUUAUUUCACAGGAGGGUGAGCAUCUCCAUUCUAAUGACGAAUCAUUUUCUCUUUCUGUAAUGACUGUGAUUGCCUCAUUAUACUUUCCAUGGUAUAUAAUUUCUGUGUUGACACAAGUGGAUGUACAGCAAAAAAACUCACUCAUCCAGUCAGCCUGGGAUACUCAACUCAGAUUACCCUUUAAACUCUGCACAUAUAAAAAACCAGAAGAGUGCAAAAUCUGAAUACCCCUCCUUUGAGGUUCUGAUUCCUUUAACUUCAGAUUACAUGAAUAUUUUCCUCAUAGAAAGAAAAGGCAGUUCUCUUCUGUCAUUAAAUAAAACGCUUGAGACCCACAAAAUUGAAAUUCUAUGCUUUACAGAUAGUAUCCAGCAACUUAUUGGGUAGAUUUGUUUUUAAAAGGAGAUCUAACAAACACUGUGAGUUGUCAUAUCCUUACAAGAUGUAGGUAUUACUUAUCUUCAUGAAAAAUGACAAUGUAUUUGCCCUACUUAUCAAAAAGCUAAUUCUGAGCUGGCAGGUAAAAGCUGUUGCUUUACUCAGAGUAACCAACCAUUUUGAAAGACAUCAGUGCAUGUUCACAUAUAAUUCCAGCAGAAAUGGAGACACUGCCGAUUUCAGCACUAGGGACCCUUUAUUGAAUGAAAUUAUUGAAUGUAGCACCUCCUAUUUAGCUAAGUGCAUCUGAAACGAGCCCUAUAUGAUACCUACUUAAUCCAAUGCUUUUGACAAGGGCAGAAAAAUUUGGUUUUUAAACUCUCACCUCAUACAUAAAGAACAUAAUCAUAUAAAAAUGUAUUUGAACUUUAUUAUGGUCAUCACAGAAAAAUAACGAAUGGUAACACUUUCAAAAUUUGUUUGGAAUGCAAAUCUGGAUUGCACAGCUUUUAUGUAAAUAUUUGGUUUAUGGGGGCAUUUUCCCAAUAGAGACAGAGCUGUGGACACAACAAAAGACAUGGAACUAACACUAUUAACCCUUUACAGGUGUCAGAAGCACACUUAUGUCAAACGCCUUUGCUAUUGCAGCAUGUUGUAACACACGCAUGGCAAUAUAUGAAUGGAAAAU